GAAAGUCUGCCGCAGCACGCCGCGUGGGCGAAGAAGGCUUCGGGUCGUAAAGCCCUUUUAUGGGGGAAGAGCAAGGACGGUACCUCAUGAAUAAGUCUCGGCUAACUACGUGCCAGCAGCCGCGGUAAAACGUAGGAGGCGAGCGUUAUCCGGAUUUACUGGGCGUAAAGCGCGCGCAGGCGGCACCUUAAGUUGGAUGUGAAAUCUCCCGGCUCAACUGGGCAGGGUGCGUUCAAUACUGGGGUGCUUGAGGUCAGCAGGGGGGAGUGGAAUUCCCGGUGUAGUGGUAAAAUGCGUAGAUAUCGGGAGGAACACCAGUGGCGAAGGCGGCUCCCUGGGCUGCACCUGACGCUGAGGCGCGAAAGCGUGGGGAGCGAACGGGAUUAGAUACCCCGGUAGUCCACGCUGUAAACGAUGGAUGCUAGGUGUUGGUGGUAUUGACCCCAUCAGUGCCGAAGCUAACGCGUUAAGCAUCCCGCCUGGGGACUACGACGCAAGGUUAAAACUCAAAGGAAUUGACGGGACCCCGCACAACAGCGGAGCGUGUGGUUUUAAUUCGAUGCAACGCGAAGAACUUACUGGGCUUGACAUGCA
rnacentral:rRNA from 1 species